rnacentral:rRNA from 1 species
GUAGGUGGCAAGCGUUGUCCGGAAUUAUUGGGCGUAAAGCGCGCGCAGGCGGUCCUUUAAGUCUGAUGUGAAAGCCCACGGCUCAACCGUGGAGGGUCAUUGGAAACUGGGGGACUUGAGUACAGAAGAGGAAAGCGGAAUUCCAAGUGUAGCGGUGAAAUGCGUAGAGAUUUGGAGGAACACCAGUGGCGAAGGCGGCUUUCUGGUCUGUGACUGACGCUGAGGCGCGAAAGCGUGGGGAGCAAACAGGGAUUAGAUACCCUGGUAGUCCACGCCGUAAACGAUGAGUGCUAAGUGUUAGGGGGUUUCCGCCCCCUUAGUGCUGCAGCUAACGCAUUAAGCACUCCGCCUGGGGAGUACGGCCGCAAGGCUG